ACUACACCGAGACGUCAAUGACCUCCUCUUGCUCCAGGACCCGGCUGAAGAAUGAAGACAAAGACUUGGUCCCCUGAUUAGAGGUAAGUCAAUCUUUGUGAGUGGUCUUGCUUGUUUCAGUCAAAGUUUUAUGGUGAUAAAUUGAUGUUAACAGUCCACUAACUGGAUCUGAUCCCUGUCUGCCUUCUGUAGUCACCACCCUGCAGGCGGACUUCCUGUCUCACUGUGAGCCCGUAGACCUUCAACCUCGUCCAGAAAACCCUUACUCAGGACAUGGUGAGUGUGCCUUUCUCUUUCAGGCUCUACUUUGAGGAGCACACAUGAGCAGCUCUCUUAAAUCCUUCUAACAGAUGAGUCCGUUAAGAUGAUGAUAGUUGGAUGUUUUUACUCGAUGGGCACAGAUAAACCUCCACAACCUAUGAAGAGUGCAAGCUUUGCCAUGUCACUGUCACUUUAUAGAUCUCCUCCACCUUUAUAUCGCUGACAUUAUCAGUAUUAUUGACAUUAUAGGAUUAUCACUGAGACCUUUUCUGACUGAUAGAAAACUAAAUGAAAACGAGGCAGAAUAUUCACUCAUGACAGUUUUCUUCAUUUACAGGAGGAUACUCGAGUCUCGACUGAGGACCCAGUGAUGAAGAUGGAUGACCUGUCUGUGACACAAGGGUCAUAGAGGAUAGUUCUGUACUG